rnacentral:lncRNA from 1 species
CUCAUCCCAUCCCAAAACCGCCCACCGUUAAACCACCACCCUCCACACCCAAACCGCCCACAAAACCACCCACCGUUAAACCACCUCCAUCCACCCCUAAGCCGCCCACCAAACCACCCACCGUCAAACCACCACCCUCCACCCCAAAACCGCCCACCAAGCCACCCACCGUCAAACCACCUCCGUCCACCCCUAAACCACCUACCCACAAGCCACCAACAGUGUGCCCACCGCCAACACCAACACCAACCCCACCUGUUGUAACGCCACCAACACCACCAACACCAACUCCACCAGUCGUUACGCCACCAACACCAGCCCCACCUGUUGUAACGCCACCAACACCAACACCACCGGUCGUAACGCCACCGACACCAACCCCUCCUGUCGUAACACCUCCAACACCACCGGUCGUAACGCCACCGACACCAACUCCUCCUGUCGUAACACCACCAACACCACCGGUCGUAACGCCACCGACACCAACCCCUCCUGUCGUAACACCUCCAACACCACCGGUCGUAACGCCACCGACACCAACCCCUCCUGUCGUAACACCACCAACACCAACUCCACCUAAGCCAGAAACGUGCCCAAUCGACACGUUGAAGCUAGGCGCUUGUGUAGACGUUCUUGGAGGUUUAAUUCACAUCGGGCUUGGUGGAAGUAGCGCCAAGAAAGAGUGUUGUCCGGUUUUGGGAGGCUUAGUUGA